UGAGGAAUAUUGGGUCAAUGGGCGAGAGCCUGAACCAGCCAAGUAGCGUGCAGGACGACGGCCCUAUGGGUUGUAAACUGCUUUUAUAAGGGAAUAAAGUGAGUCUCGUGAGACUUUUUGCAUGUACCUUAUGAAUAAGGACCGGCUAAUUCCGUGCCAGCAGCCGCGGUAAUACGGAAGGUCCGGGCGUUAUCCGGAUUUAUUGGGUUUAAAGGGAGCGUAGGCCGGAGAUUAAGCGUGUUGUGAAAUGUAGAGGCUCAACCUCUGCACUGCAGCGCGAACUGGUCUUCUUGAGUACGCACAACGUGGGCGGAAUUCGUGGUGUAGCGGUGAAAUGCUUAGAUAUCACGAAGAACUCCGAUUGCGAAGGCAGCUCACGGGAGCGCAACUGACGCUGAAGCUCGAAAGUGCGGGUAUCGAACAGGAUUAGAUACCCUGGUAGU
rnacentral:rRNA from 1 species